CCUACGGGUUGCACCAGUGGGGAAUAUUGCACAAUGGGCGCAAGCCUGAUGCAGCCAUGCCGCGUGUAUGAAGAAGGCCUUCGGGUUGUAAAGUACUUUCAGCGGGGAGGAAGGCGAUAAGGUUAAUAACCUUGUCGAUUGACGUUACCCGCAGAAGAAGCACCGGCUAACUCCGUGCCAGCAGCCGCGGUAAUACGGAGGGUGUAAGCGUUAAUCGGAAUUACUGGGCGUAAAGCGCACGCAGGCGGUCUGUCAAGUCGGAUGUGAAAUCCCCGGGCUCAACCUGGGAACUGCAUUCGAAACUGGCAGCCUGGAGUCUUGUAGAGGGGGGUAGACUUCCAGGUGUAGCGGUGAAAUGCGUAGAGAUCUGGAGGAAAACCGGUGGCGAAGGCGGCCCCCUGGACAAAGACUGACGCUCAGGUGCGAAAGCGUGGGGAGCAAACAGGAUUAGAUACCCUCGUAGUC
rnacentral:rRNA from 1 species